rnacentral:rRNA from 1 species
GACGAAUGCUGGCUGCGUGCUUAACACAUGCAAGUCGAACGGUGAACAGGGGCUUGCCCCUGGGAUCAGUGGCGAACGGGUGAGUAACACGUGGGCAACCUGCCCCUCACUCUGGGAUAACUCCGGGAAACCGGGGCUAAUACCGGAUACGACCAGGCACGACAUCGGGUCUGGUGGAAAGAACUUCGGUGAGGGAUGGGGCCCCGCGGCCUAUCAGCUUGUUGGUGAGGUAAUGGCUCACCAAGGCGACGACGGGUAGCCGGCCUGAGAGGGCGACCGGCCACACUGGGACUGAGACACGGCCCAGACUCCUACGGGAGGCAGCAGUGGGGAAUAUUGCGCAAUGGGCGAAAGCCUGACGCAGCGACGCAGCGUGAGGGACGAAAGGGCCUUCGGGUUGUAAACCUCUUUCAGCGGGGACGAAGCGAAAGUGACGGUACCCGCAGAAGAAGCACCGGCUAACUACGUGCCAGCAGCCGCGGU